rnacentral:rRNA from 1 species
UACAGAGGUCUCAAGCGUUGUUCGGAUUCAUUGGGCGUAAAGGGUGCGUAGGUGGCGCCGUAAGUCAGGUGUGAAAUUUCGGAGCUUAACUCCGAAACUGCAUUUGAUACUGCGGUGCUUGAGGACUGGAGAGGAGACUGGAAUUCACGGUGUAGCAGUGUAAUGCGUAGAUAUCGUGAGGAAGACCAGUGGCGAAGGCGGGUCUCUGGACAGUUCCUGACACUGAGGCACGAAGGCCAGGGGAGCAAACGGG